UCAAGCAAUUAAGGGCAAUCGGUGGAUGCCUUGGCGUCAAGAGGCGAUGAAGGACGUGGCAGGCUGCGAUAAUCUUCGAGGAGCCGUCUGCAGGCGCUUUAACUCGAAGGUCUCCGAAUCGGGGAACCGGGUGCCGUGAACCGGCAUCAUCCCGGCGUAAGCCGGGAAGCAAACCCAGGGAACUGAAACAUCUUAGUACCUGGAGGAAAAGAUACCGAAGUGUAUUCCCUCAGUAGCGGCGAGCGAACGGGGAAAAGCCUAAACCGGGCAUAUGUUAAAGCCUAUAUGCGUUGUAUGUUCGGUGUCGUGGGAUCUCUUCUGACCUUGGUAUAGCGAGGUCGGGAAGUUACAAAUUCACGGCUUAGUAGAAUGGCAUGGAAAGGCCAACCAAAGAAGGUGACAGUCCUGUAAAUUAAAAGCCGUCGAACUUCCUGGGAGAGACACCCGAGUACCACGGGACACGUGGAAUCUUGUGGGAAUUUGCCCCGACCACGGGGUAAGGCUAAAUACUACUUGACGACCGAUAGUGAACAAGUACCGUGAGGGAAAGGUGAAAAGCCCCCCGGGAGGGGAGUGAAAUAGAACCUGAAACCGUUUGCCUACAAACCGUUGGAGGGCUAUGCCCUGAUUAAUAAUCGGGGAAUGCCUGACAGCGUGCCUUGUGUAUAAUGAGCUGCCGAGUUAUCUUUUAUAGCAGGUUAAGCUGUUCAAGUGGAGCCAAAGCGAAAGCGAGUCUUAAUAGGGCGCGUCCUUCGGGACAUGUUAUAAGGGAUAGACCUGAAACCGGGUGAUCUAUCUAUGACCAGGAUGAAGUUCGGGUAAUACCGAAUGGAGGUCCGAACCUACCAAGGUUGAAAACUUGGAGGAUGAGUUGUGGAUAGGGGUGAAAGGCCAAUCAAACCCGGCAAUAUCUGGUUCUCCUCGAAAUAGCUCUAGGGCUAGCCUCAUGGGUUCAAUUGCGGGGGUAGAGCACUGAAUGAGCUAGGGCUCCUACAAGAGUACCAAACUCAAUCAAACUCCGAAUACCGUAAUUUCAUACCAUGGGAGUCAGACUGCGGGCGAUAAGGUUCGUAGUCGAGAGGGAAACAGCCCAGACCGUCAGCUAAGGUCCCGAAAUACGGGCUAAGUGGGAAAGGAUGUGAGAUUGCUCAGACAGCCAGGAGGUUGGCUUAGAAGCAGCCAUUCCUUUAAAGAGUGCGUAAUAGCUCACUGGUCGAGUGGUCUUGCGCCAAUAAUUUAGCGGGGCUCAAGCCCGUUACCGAAGCUACGGAUUUAUGCGAUUUAUCGCAUGGAUAGUAGAGGAGUGUUCCAUAAGAGAUACAAGGUGUACCGUGAGGAGCACUGUUGGCUUAUGGAAGUAAGUAUGGCAGCAUGAGUAACGAUAAUUCGGGUAAGAAACCCGAACGCCGAAAGUCUAAGGUUUCCUGGGGAAGGUUAAUCCGCCCAGGGUUAGUCGGUCCCUAAGGCGAGGCCGAAAGGCGUAGCUGAUGGGAAACAGGUUAAAAAUUCCUGUACCACCGAGAGACGUUAUUAGCAAUGGGGUGACGCAGAAGGAUAGGUCAGUCCCCUGAUGGAUGGGGAUCGAAGGCUGUAGGGAUCCCGGUGAGAGCCGGGAUAGUGUCAAGCCAGGUAAAUCCGGUAGACAUGAAAACCGAGGGUCGUAAGGCCGUAGAAUUCUUCGGAAGACUGCGGAUUGAUUGAGUCCUCCUGCCAAGAAAUAACCUCUAGCGAGUCUGCAGGUGACCGUACCGCAAACCGACACAGGUAGACGGGGUGAGUAUCCUAAGGCGCUCGAGAUAACUCUCGUCAAGGAACUCGGCAAAAUUGCUCCGUAACUUCGGGAGAAGGAGCGCCCUGAGUAUGUGAAGCCCCUGCGGGUGGAGCAGAAAGGGGUUGCAAUAAAAAGGCCCAAGCGACUGUUUACUAAAAACACAGGUCUCUGCUAAGUCGUAAGACGAUGUAUAGGGACUGACGCCUGCCCGGUGCCGGAAGGUUAAAAGGAGGGGUUAUCCUGAGCAAUCAGGAGAAGCUCUGAAUUGAAGCCCCGGUAAACGGCGGCCGUAACUAUAACGGUCCUAAGGUAGCGAAAUUCCUGGUCGGGUAAGUUC
rnacentral:rRNA from 1 species